rnacentral:rRNA from 1 species
UACGAAGGGGGCUAGCGUUGCUCGGAAUCACUGGGCGUAAAGCGCACGUAGGCGGCUUUUUAAGUCAGGGGUGAAAUCCUGGAGCUCAACUCCAGAACUGCCUUUGAUACUGAGAAGCUCGAGUCCGGGAGAGGUGAGUGGAACUGCGAGUGUAGAGGUGAAAUUCGUAGAUAUUCGCAGGAACACCAGUGGCGAAGGCGGCUCACUGGCCCGAUACUGACGCUGAGGUGCGAAAGCGUGGGGAGCAAACAGG